AUUCUAAUGCAAUUAUUUUGUAACAAUGGUUCUGAUUGGAUGACAGUACGCGUAAAAUUCUCUAUCUCCUUGUCUGUAACUAAGGAAGCCGACAUUUUGAAUUGCUGAAUAUAUUGACAUGUAAUUUCUACAAUAAUAAGACAAAAAACUCACAUGUUGCACCUAAAAAUCUUCUUUUUAUCAAAUUUUAUUUUAUUCUGAAGCGGCACAGAAGCAAGAAAACGUCCGGUGUUUAUGUUUGACGCCGGAAGCAUACCUAUGACGUCACCCAGGGAAGGGACCAAAGAAGAUAACAUCUUUUCGCGGAAUUUUCUUUAAUGAAGAUUUUACACUGAAAUCAUGAUUGAAAUUGAAUAAUGAAAUUGUUUUGCAUUAGAAUAGAGAUAACUGUAUUGUAUUUGAAGCUUUGCGGACGACCAUCGGUAGUUUUACUGUCGCAAAUACCCGUUUACCUGUCUCCGCUCCGCGUCGCCAGGUAAACUAAAUUUGCGACAGUAAAACUACCGAUGGACGU
rnacentral:lncRNA from 1 species